rnacentral:rRNA from 1 species
AGAGUUUGAUCCUGGCUCAGGAUGAACGCUAGCGGCAGGCUUAACACAUGCAAGUCGAGGGGCAGCGGGGAGGAAGCUUGCUUUCUCCGCCGGCGACCGGCGCACGGGUGAGUAACACGUAUGCAACCUGCCCCUGUCAGGGGGACAACCCGCCGAAAGGCGGGCUAAACCCGCGUACAUGCCACCGGGGCAUCCCGGAGGCAGGAAAGGCUUCGGCCGGACAGGGAUGGGCAUGCGGCGCAUUAGGCAGUAGGCGGGGUAACGGCCCACCUAACCGACGAUGCGUAGGGGUUCUGAGAGGAAGGUCCCCCACACUGGUACUGAGACACGGACCAGACUCCUACGGGAGGCAGCAGUGAGGAAUAUUGGUCAAUGGUCGGGAGACUGAACCAGCCAAGCCGCGUGAGGGAGGAAGGUACAGAGUAUCGUAAACCUCUUUUGUCAGGGAACAAAGACUGGGACGCGUCCCCGGAUGAGUGUACCUGAAGAAAAAGCAUCGGCUAACUCCGUGCCAGCAGCCGCGGUAAUACGGAGGAUGCGAGCGUUAUCCGGAUUUAUUGGGUUUAAAGGGUGCGCAGGCGGUCUGUUAAGUCAGCGGUCAAAGCCCGGGGCUCAACCCCGGCCCGCCGUUGAAACUGGCAGUCUCGAGUUGGAGAGAAGUAUGCGGAAUGCGCGGUGUAGCGGUGAAAUGCAUAGAUAUCGCGCAGAACUCCGAUUGCGAAGGCAGCAUGCCGGCUCCACACUGACGCUGAGGCACGAAAGCGUGGGUAUCGAACAGGAUUAGAUACCCUGGUAGUCCACGCAGUAAACGAUGAAUGCUGGCUGUCCGGGGGGACUGACCCCUGGGUGGCGAAGCGAAAGCGAUAAGCAUUCCACCUGGGGAGUACGCCGGCAACGGUGAAACUCAAAGGAAUUGACGGGGGCCCGCACAAGCGGAGGAACAUGUGGUUUAAUUCGAUGAUACGCGAGGAACCUUACCCGGGCUCAAACGGGGAGUGGCGCAGGCAGAGACGCCUGUUUCCCACGGGACACUCCCCGAGGUGCUGCAUGGUUGUCGUCAGCUCGUGCCGUGAGGUGUCGGCUUAAGUGCCAUAACGAGCGCAACCCCCGCGUGCAGUUGCUAACAGUCAACGCUGAGGACUCUGCACGGACUGCCGGCGCAAGCCGCGAGGAAGGCGGGGAUGACGUCAAAUCAGCACGGCCCUUACGUCCGGGGCGACACACGUGUUACAAUGGGUGGUACAGCGGGAAGCCAGGCGGCGACGCCGAGCGGAACCCGAAAUCCACUCUCAGUUCGGAUCGGAGUCUGCAACCCGACUCCGUGAAGCUGGAUUCGCUAGUAAUCGCGCAUCAGCCAUGGCGCGGUGAAUACGUUCCCGGGCCUUGCACACACAGCCCGUCA